rnacentral:rRNA from 1 species
AGAAUCAACGCUGGCGGCGUGCCUAACACAUGCAAGUCGAACGAGAAAGUGGAGCAAUCCAUGAGUAAAGUGGCGACCGGGUGAGUAACACGUGACUAACCUACCGUUCGGAGUGGGGGAUAACCUCGGGAAACCGAGGCUAAUACCGCAUAACAUCGUGAGAUCAAAGCAGUAAUGCGCUGGAAGAGGGGGUCGCGGCUGAUUAGCGUAGUUGGCGGGGUAAUGGCCCACCAAGGCGAUGAUCGGUA